CGUUAAGACAGCGUGUUGCUCCAUAUCGCCUGGUGUUGUCUGUGGGCGCGCUCUCGGAGUUCCAACCAAUACAAGAGCCUUGUAGUGACAAGGCCCAGAGUAAGGGCCCAGGAACGUCAUCAUGAGGCCCUGGGAAGGGUCCAGGCAGAGGAGGGGUCCCAGUGCUCAGAGAGCUCUGAUGCAGCCCAGACCACGGUGCUCCUCCACCCACCCGAUGCCUCCUGAGAGACGAGGUGGCUCCAGCACAGAGAAAAGUGGGAGAGGGACAGAGACUCCCUCAGUGGCUCCCCCCAGGAGAAGAAGCUUCUAGAGCAGGCGGCUAGUUCUGACCUGGGAGAGUGUUGGAGGAGCAGACCCUCCCGCUACUUGCACCCUGGGGUCUCCAGGGCUACCGACUGGCCCCAACAGCACAUCACCCACAAGACUGGUGUGUUUACACAAAGCAGGUUAACCGUGCAGAGUUUGAAGAAAUCAGAGGAGGUCAGGUGUUUCUUCCCUGCGAUCAUUAGCAACCGGCCACAGCCACCAGCAGCGUGUGACAGUUUGUCAGUGAUGACAAAACAGAGUGGCAGCAGCUUCCCAAGGGACCUCAGGGCACUGCACAGCAGCAAGAGGACACCUGGCACCACCGCACCGUGUGAGCUGUGUGGGCUCUGCAGGCACCGUGGGGGCUG